ACGGAAUAUCUCCCCGGAAGAUUAGAUUGUUUUUUCAAAAGAAUUACUUUUUAUAAUUGUUAUUUAUAAUUGUUUCAUAUUUUACGAAGACAUCUUUUUGUGGUCUGUCAGAAAAAUCUUUUAUAACGGAUAUAUAGAUUUAAAUAAUUUUAUACCGUGAGAGCUUAUUAUGUAUAUAUAUGUAUAUAAAACACAAUAACUGUUGCAUUCAGUCAGUGAAUAUACAGUUAUGUGACUACUUCGUGGACGAUAAUAUAAGAUUUUUCUCUGACAGUUAACAGUGUAACGUAGCAUGAGCCAGUGAAUUAUCGACUGACAAGUAAAAUCUGAUAAUAAAUUGAUUUUCUUAAGGUCCAGUCGAUCUAAAGAUACGCUUUAGUUUACAUAUAAUCAGAGAAAAACUAUCAACAAUGUCAAAAAAGCCUGGAGCUACUCAAGCUAUGCAUAAAGUUAUUAUGGUUGGAAGUGGAGGUGUUGGAAAAUCUGCUCUAACUUUACAGUUUAUGUAUGACGAGUUUGUUGAAGAUUAUGAACCAACAAAGGCAGAUUCCUAUAGAAAAAAAGUUGUAUUAGAUGGAGAGGAAGUACAAAUAGAUAUCUUAGAUACCGCAGGACAAGAAGAUUAUGCGGCGAUUCGAGAUAAUUAUUUUCGCAGUGGAGAAGGAUUUCUUUGUGUAUUUUCUAUAACAGAAGAUGACAGUUUUCAAGCAACACAGGAAUUUAGAGAACAGAUUCUCAGAGUAAAAAAUGACGAGAACAUUCCAUUUUUAUUAGUGGGAAAUAAAAGUGACCUACAAGAAAAAAGAAAAGUCAGUUUGGCAGAAGCGCAAGCCCGGUCACAACAAUGGGGUGUACCUUAUGUAGAAACAAGUGCAAAAACAAAGGAAAAUGUUGAUAAGAAGCAUUUAACUGACCAUAAAAUGGGUUUAUGACCAAAUUAAUCAUAAGGAAAUGGGAAGGGAAUAUUGCUAAGUUCGCUAUCACUUUUGAAACUUUACUUUCACUGGUAAUAAGGAAUACAAAAGAACACUACUUAUGAAUCUUCAUGGUGUAUCCUAGAGAAAAUAAUAUGAAGGUAUUUUUUGAUUUAAUGCGGGCAAUAGCUGCUCGUAAAGCGCAAGAAAAUCAAGUGGAUGGAGAUGAACGUAAGAAAAAGACAAAAUGCUGCAUCUUGCUCUAACAAAGUAAAAAAAAAAAAGAAAGAGAGAACAAAAGAACAAAAGAAAGAAAGAAAGAAAGAAAGAAAAGUAUGUAGCUUAUAUAAGAAGACAUCUAACGCCCAAUUUCUGAAACAUGCAUAAAAGAACAGUAUUUAUACACAUUUUGUGACACUUUACACAAUAAUAUGACAAUUUAUAAUUUUUAUUAUAACCUUUAUCACCUAUUAAAAUGUUAAGAAAUUACUGAAUGUGUAUCAAGCUUUAGCGAAACGUAGAUAGGCUUAUAAUUAUACUCUAAUACUGAAGAGUGUUACGACAACUUGACCUUAUUAAGAGACAUAGUUCCUAUCUUGAAAGGUUUGCAAUAUAAUUAAUAGAUUGUAGAAUUUGUUUGGCUAGAAGACUCUCAUAAGUAGUUUUCUAUGGAUUGGGAAAGAUAAAUGAGGAAGUAAUAGUAAUACUUGACAGUAUGUACACAUUUGCAAAUAAGCAUUUUUCAUAAUUGCAAGCAUAUCUUGAAACAUUAACGCAUUAAUGCUUAGCAAAAUUUGACGUCUUCUUAUUCUAAGAGUAUUAUGAAUUAAAUUUCAUUUUUUUUUUUUUUUCAAUUAUUAUUGCCAUUAUAUAAAAAAUCUGGCAAAUGUGAGAUAUUUAAGGUCGAGAUUAUUAAAAUUGAGAUUUUGUUUUUAUACCAUAUUUGUUUCCUAUAUGUAUUCAGUUACGAUACUAUUAUCAUUAUUUUAUCACAAUACAUUUUUCACUAUAAUACAAAAGAUUUAUCAUAUAAUUUUAUCACAUCUAUCCAUUAUGUCAUCAUACGAUAAUAAAGAUAUCGCUCAUUUUGAGAUAAAGGUCCAACUUAACUUUGGUCGGUAGUGAAAACAAAGAAAAAAAGUGCAUACGUAUUAUGAGUGAUUCCUGUAUCAAAGGGAUUGCUAUGUAAUUUUACUCAUACAACGAAUGAUUACAAAAUUUUGGCAGAAUUAUUUACAGUACUCAUAAGUUAAAAAAAAAAUUGUUUUCACUGGUAUUACGAUCGAGUGUUUUAUCUCAUAAGUGUUAAAAUUGAAGUUAACUAUGCUUAUUAUUUAUGACCAAUAAAAUUUUAAUUGAUAAUAUUUAUGGACUGAUCGUUUCAUGUGAUUGCUUAUUACAUGAUAUAUAUAUAUAUAUAUGUAUGUAUGUAUGUAUGUAUUUAUGUAAAAGAACUGAAUUCAUCUAACAAUUACAUAAUAGUUUGUAUGCUUAUGAUAUAAUAAGUAAUGUGCUCUCUCUAAAUAUAUUGGUAAUAUACAACGUACAUAUAUAUAUAUAUGUAUGUGUGUAUGUAUGGUAAACAGUAUAUAAGAAUAAUGCGCAUUACUUAAGAUACAGAAGAAAUCAAAAGCCAGAUGAGCAUUCAAUUAAUAUGACUUACUUUAUUGCACCAAAUGACCUUUGCUAUACAAUAACUCAAGAAAGUACGUGAACGAGUUACGAAUUCGUGAGAAAAUGUUUUUUAAUAUUUAUAACUUUAUUAGAUUAAAUAUAUAUUCAAAUUAAAAUAUGUA